AACGAACGCUGGCGGCAUGCCUAACACAUGCAAGUCGAACGGGACCUUCGGGUCUAUGUGCGCACGUCGACUUGACGCGUGGUGACCUACCCUUGAGUUCGCAGUAACUCCCCUAGGGAUAUGCUAAUGCCGGAGAAUGUCUUCGCGCCAACGAGUUAUCGCCGUUGGCUGGGCCCGCGUUGGAUUAGCUAGUUGGUAGGGUAAAAGCCUAACAAGGCGACGAUCCCUAGCUGGUCUGAGAGGAUGGUCAGUCACACUGGGAAUGCGACACGGACCAGAACCCUACGGGAGGAAGCAGUGGGGAAUACUGGACAAUGGGCGAAAGUCUGAUAAAGCCACGCGGGGUGAGUGAUGAAGGCCUUAGGGUUGCAAAGCCCUCUUACACGGGAUGAUAAUGACAGUAACGGGAGAAUAAGCUCCGGCUAACUACGUG
rnacentral:rRNA from 1 species